rnacentral:lncRNA from 1 species
GUUUCUUUACUCUCUUGCCUUGAUGCUGGGAAGAUGCAAAUAGAUGAACCGAAAGAACAUGGCUCGGAUGGAUGUGCUGGAGGAAAUGCACCAGGAAAUCCCGAGCAGGGUGCAAUCAGUCAGCAUUAAUGCCCACAAGUAUCAAAGCUACUUGAAGAAAUACAGCUACUUAUGGAUGGGCGAUAAAAUUGAAUUCAUGAAGCAGCUCCUUCUCCAUGGGCAAUUUCUUGGUGCUGAAGAACUAGAAUUGCAUGCAGACUAAGAGUGUCAGAACUCCACACUGCAGUCAGCACACUUUGAAGAACAGGCAUUGAAUUUUAGCCGAGUCUAGCAUUAUCUUUUUCGAUUCCGAGGACAGCUAUUAAAUCAUAAAAUAUUUUGUGAUAUAAAGCUCUUGCUUCUGAGAGAUCUUUCCUUUCUUCCCUUUAAGAUCAACAUCUAUGAAAUAUUAUGUGAAUGAGUUGACAGCUUUAAAAAUCAGAGGAUAUUUAGUGGCUAGCUUCAAGUUGAUAGUAAACCUUUUAAAAACCAAUGAUGAAUGUUACAAAAAAUGGGGUUUGAUGUUUAAGAAGCAUCUGCUUAACGAUGUAACCUGCAGGGAAAGUAAUUUGAAUCUGG